AACGAUGAAGCCCGNCUUGCUGGGUGGAUUAGUGGCGAACGGGUGAGUAACACGUGAGUAACCUGCCCUUAACUCUGGGAUAAGCCUGGGAAACUGGGUCUAAUACCGGAUAGGAGCGUCCACCGCAUGGUGGGUGUUGGAAAGAUUUAUCGGUUUUGGAUGGACUCGCGGCCUAUCAGCUUGUUGGUGAGGUAAUGGCUCACCAAGGCGACGACGGGUAGCCGGCCUGAGAGGGUGACCGGCCACACUGGGACUGAGACACGGCCCAGACUCCUACGGGAGGCAGCAGUGGGGAAUAUUGCACAAUGGGCGCAAGCCUGAUGCAGCGACGCCGCGUGAGGGAUGACGGCCUUCGGGUUGUAAACCUCUUUCAGUAGGGAAGAAGCGAAAGUGACGGUACCUGCAGAAGAAGCACCGGCUAACUACGUGCCAGCAGCCGCGGUAAUACGUAGGGUGCGAGCGUUAUCCGGAAUUAUUGGGCGUAAAGAGCUCGUAGGCGGUUUGUCGCGUCUGUCGUGAAAGUCCGGGGCUUAACCCCGGAUCUGCGGUGGGUACGGGCAGACUAGAGUGCAGUAGGGGAGACUGGAAUUCCUGGUGUAGCGGUGGAAUGCGCAGAUAUCAGGAGGAACACCGAUGGCGAAGGCAGGUCUCUGGGCUGUAACUGACGCUGAGGAGCGAAAGCAUGGGGAGCGAACAGGAUUAGAUACCCUGGUAGUCCAUGCCGUAAACGUUGGGCAC
rnacentral:rRNA from 1 species